rnacentral:rRNA from 1 species
GACAGAGGGGGCAAGCGUUGCUCGGAAUUACUGGGCGUAAAGGGCGCGUAGGCGGGAUGGCAAGUCGGUCGUGAAAUCCCUCGGCUCAACCGAGGAACGUCGAUCGAUACUGCUGUUCUUGAGGAUUGCAGAGGAGACUGGAAUUCCCGGUGUAGCGGUGAAAUGCGUAGAUAUCUGGAGGAACACCGGUGGCGAAGGCGGCAUCCUGGACCGGUAUUGACGCUGAGGCGCGAAAGCCAGGGGAGCAAACGGG